AGCAAUAUCGCACUGAUAUGUGUACGGAACCGAAACCUCUCGAAGGAUAAUACAGGCUCUCCAUACUCUACUCCGAAUGCAUACGUCCACAGAAAGGUAACAUAUCUCUCCGAAUAUCUCCGAAUAUAGCCUGGGUAUACGAGGAAACCCAACACCUAGAGAAGAUGGGUUAUAUGGCUAAACUGAGGCGG
rnacentral:ribozyme from 1 species